rnacentral:rRNA from 3 species
GGGCUGCGCCGUGACUACUGCCGUGCGGCGUCAAAACCGUGCGGUGGGAAAGUGGUGCCCUGGCUUGCGGCUUUGCGCGG